CUGAUCCUACGGGGGGCAGCAGUAGGGAAUUUUCGUCAAUGGGCGCAAGCCUGAACGAGCAAUGCCGCGUGAACGAGGAAGGUCUUCGGAUCGUAAAGUUCUGUUGAAGGGGAAAAAGAGCGGAGAGAGGAAAUGAACUCCGAUUGAUAUUACCCUUCGAGGAAGUCACGGCUAACUACGUGCCAGCAGCCGCGGUAAUACGUAGGUGGCGAGCGUUAUCCGGAUUCAUUGGGCGUAAAGCGCGCGCAGGCGGCCCGUU
rnacentral:rRNA from 1 species